ensembl:lncRNA
AGGAUUGGUCAGCAGCAGUAGGAACUUUUGGGGUGGUAGGUCUGGGCUUGAAUGCCUCAGCUGAGCCCAAGUGUCCUGCUCCGAGUAUGAAAAGCCUCAUGUUCCUUGUGGUUCAUGUUUGUGAUUCAGCAUUUUCUGCCACUGCCAGAAUAUGAAGGGGGAAAACUCUGCAGAAAAAGUUUCACAGAAUCACAGAACUGGAAGGGCUGGAAGGGACAUCUGGAGAUCAUCGAGUCCAACCCCCUGCCAAAGCAUGCUCCCUACAGCAGGCUGCACAGCAUUUUUAGAGCUUGGGGAUUAAGAUACACAGCCAAAAAGUUACUUAAAUAUGCCACAACAUGGAGAUUCGAAUGACUGGCUCACUGAAUGUCACGUGGGGUAGCUGCACAGUAUGUAUGGAGAGUGAGGAGCCUCAAAAGAGUGAAACCCGACUGCACAGGGACAUUGUUGAACCAGCCAGCAGAGACUAUGAGCCUGGAAAAGGGAGUUGCACAGGUAACCUGCAGCAGAUAAGAACUGUGACCAUUAAAGAAAAAACGCAAUGAGAAUAAAUGAAAUGUUGAACGGAGAUUGACCCAUCUCCUUUUGU